UUCAGUACUUCAAGAAGCACCAGUGUAAGACUACCAGGUUGUGUCUUGCCAGACACUAUAUCUUCAGUACUUCAAGAAGCACCAGUGUAAGAUUACCAGGUUGUGUCUUGCCAGACACUAUAUCUUCAGUACUUCAAGAAGCACCAGUGUAAGACUACCAGGUUAUGUCUUGCCAGACACUGUAUCUUCAGUACUUCAAGAAGCAGCAGUGUAAGACUACCAGGUUGUAUCUUGCCAGACACUAUAUCUUCAGUACUUCAAGAAGCAGCAGUGUAAGACUACCAGGUUGUAUCUUGCCAGACACUAUAUCUUCAGUACUUAAAGAAAGGCAACACCUGUUAUUCUUGUGAAUUUGUAACUUGCCAAGUAUUGCUAAUUGAACAAUUUUGUUUUUAAUAUUGGGAAUUCUAUCUAAAUAUCCAUUGCAGUUAAUACAACAAUACAAGUUACUAAAACUGUAAUUAAUAAUUUUCAGAAAAAUCUAUUUAAUAAACACAAGAGAAAAUAAUAAUACAAGUGUUGUUGAGUGUAUCUGCAGUGUUCUAGUACAUA